UACGUAGGGGGCAAGCGUUGUUCGGAAUUACUGGGCGUAAAGGGCGCGUAGGCGGUACGACAAGUCUGGAGUGAAAGCCCGGGGCUCAACCCCGGAAUGGCUUCGGAAACUGUCGAACUAGAGUGCAGAAGAGGCAACUGGAAUUCCCAGUGUAGCGGUGAAAUGCGUAGAUAUUGGGAAGAACACCUGAGGCGAAGGCGGGUUGCUGGGCUGACACUGACGCUGAGGCGCGAAAGCCAGGGGAGCGAACGGG
rnacentral:rRNA from 1 species